GGCAUCGACUGAGGGUCUCAGCAUCUGCACCACGUUGACUUGUCCUGAACCCAACGGCCUCUUCGCGCACCCGACGGACUGCCACCGCUACGUCAAGUGUGCCAACGGCCACGCCUACGUCGAGACCUGCCCCGCCAACCUGCACUUCAACGAGGCCUCGGGAAGCUGUGACUACCCGGAGAACGCUAAGUGUGACAUCACCAAGCGACUGGAGACCGAAGGAUGUUCUCUUCGGUCCGCAAAGGCCAGUCGAUCCUUGCCCACAGAGUCGGACCUUUCAGUCCAGUGCGACUGCGACUGCUGCCUCAAGCCACCACAGGACUG